AUGAAUGUGUUCAGUCGAGUGGUGGUGUGUGGGGCUCUUCCACCCCCUCUCAGGUGGAGGGGGGGGCUGGGAUCAGCAGCAUUUUACAAUUCCAAAGUCUCCCGUCUUCUUCCUGGACCUCAGGAGAGCCCUGUGGUUGGCAGCAGCAGCAGCAGCAGCAGCAGCAUUGUUCCUGGUGCCAAUUUCAACCCCAACGUGAACCCCUCCGCCUGGCCUGCCCUGGUGCAGGCUGGGACACCAUCUUCGGCUAGCGACGGCCUUCCACUACACUCGUCCAUUACUUCAGCUUCCUCGUUCUCUGCCAGCACUACUCUCGUCACCACUCACCCGCUUUCAUCUGUGAAUCAAACUGGUCUCCAUCAGCAGCACACUGGCAUGGCUGUGGGAGCACAAAGUGGAGAACAGCAGCAGCACUUAGGAAACCUAGGACCAGAGUUGGGUUCAGCCGGGGGAGCAAGAGGAGCAGGACCAAAUCAAGAAGGCGGCGAGGAGGUGGUCUGCGGGCUUGCAAGUGUUGAUGGAGAAGGAGGUGGCAGUCUUUCUGGCUCUUCAUCGUCGUCCUCUGCUGCCUCUUCUUCUUGGAGGUCCAUGCCUUCAGUGUCCUCUGACCUGUGUGUGAGUGCAACACAGGCGGAUAGGUGGGGUGGAGGAGGGACUGGAGCUCAGGGGCAGGAGGGUAGUGUGUGGGGCUUUGGAGGCCAGGGUGACAAGGCUGGUUGGGGCAGGGGAAAUGAUGGUAGCUCAAAUACCCCAGUGGUAUCUCAGGGAGCGUGGGAAGGAGGCAGUUCAGAAGUGGAGUGGGGCGGCACAGCGGGAGGUGCAAGUUUGAGUAACUUAGCAAUAGGAAGCGGUAGAGGAGGAGAUGGGAGCAGCAGCAACAGCAGCAGUAGUGGAGGUAUUGGUGGCAGCGUUUUGCAGGACUCUGCCUCACCAAAGUUUGACACUAUGACAAAAGCUUGGGACAAUCAGAAAGGGAUGGAAAGUGUGGACAGAACAGGUGGGGAGUGGGGAGGAGGAGAAGGGCAGGAUGGAGGUCCUCCAUCGUCCUCUAGUGGAGGAGGGUCCAAAGAUGGAAGUGGUGGAGGAGGGAGUGAUAAUGGACAUAAGCAGGAGAAAGCGUCAACUGUAACCACAAGCUCUGAGCAGACCUCCAAUGCUGAGGUGGCCUUACUCGGCAUGCUCAAUCGAUCUGACCUGGACCCCAGGGUUCUCUCCAACACCGGCUGGGGGGCAGACCCAGAUUCGACAGAAUGUGGCAUGGGACCUGGCUACCAAAGCGGGAGUAAGAAACCGAAACGAACGAAGCGCUUCAUCUUCCUCCGCGUUCUCCUCAGCGACCAUGAACCCCACCACCAGUCGAGGCCCCGGCUACCCGUCGAACACCACUUCAGUGACGAGUGA
ensembl:lncRNA